rnacentral:rRNA from 1 species
UAGGGAAUAUUGCACAAUGGGCGAAAGCCUGAUGCAGCAACGCCGCGUGUGCGAUGACGGCCUUCGGGUUGUAAAGCGCUUUUCGGGGAGAUGAGGAAGGACAGUAUCCCCGGAAUAAGGCUCGGCUAACUACGUGCCAGCAGCCGCGGUAACACGUAGGAGCCAAGCGUUAUCCGAAUUCACUGGGCGUAAAGCGCGUGUAGGCGGCUUGGUAAGUUGGAUGUGAAAGCUCCUGGCUCAACUGGGAAAGGACGUUCAAUACUGCCGGGCUUGAGGGCGGCAGAGGGGAGUGGGAUUCCCGGUUGAGGGGGGGAAUGCGUAGAUAUCCGGGAGGACACCAGUGGCGAAAGCGGCCUCCUGGGUCGCACCUGACGCUCAGACGCGAAAGCUAGGGGAGCGAACGG